UACGUAGGGUGCGAGCGUUGUCCGGAAUUAUUGGGCGUAAAGAGCUCGUAGGCGGUGUGUCGCGUCGGCCGUGAAAACCUGGGGCUCAACUCUGGGCGUGCGGUCGAUACGGGCAUCACUUGAGUUCGGCAGGGGAGACUGGAAUUCCUGGUGUAGCGGUGAAAUGCGCAGAUAUCAGGAAGAACACCCGUGGCGAAGGCGGCUCUCUGGGACGGUACUGACGCUGAGACGCGAAAGCGUGGGGAGCGAACAGG
rnacentral:rRNA from 1 species